ensembl:lncRNA
GUCGGGACUGCGGAGGCGCCGCUGGCCCGCUGGGAGGGGCAGCCGCCCAAGUCCCCCUCGCCCGGCCCGCGCAGGGCCUCGGGCCUCAUCCAGAGAGGAGCGCCCCAGAUCACGAUCCUCAAGCCCCGCCAGGGCUCCCGCCCCAGGGCAGCGCCCUGGACCUCCGCCCCGCGUCGGCGGUGCGAGACUAAGUUAAAGACGCUCCUAGGAGAAGAAGCAGGAGGUCGACUUCUGGGUCUGAGCGCUGGAUGCGGCGCGGUGGCCACAAGCAGCUCAGGAAACCGGUAAAGAGCCGCUUCCUGCUGCGGCAUGGGGCAAAGCAGUUAAGAGGCGGGAAAAGCUGCUUCCUGCCGCGACAGCGCAGAUCGUGGGGCAAAUUAGUUAAGAGGCGGGAACUGGGUCUAAAAGACGGGCUCCUUCCUUUCGGCAAGGAGAUAAAAUGGGAAAAUGAGACGCGCGGACACCCAAAAGGGUCCUGCUCCAGGAAUUAAAAUGUGAACAUUUGUGUUGUUGGCCCAGGACCGUCUCUCUCAUCUUACCUGACUACUCCACCCGGAACCAGCCUACUCCUGGGCCUCCUCCUGACCUCCUAGCGGCUGCCACCUCCAGAAGUCCUUCCACCCACCCACCCAGCCCACUCUUUCUCCAGCUUGUCUCAACAUCUUGUCUCCUGAGCACCUGUCACCUUGUUCCUGACCCCUCUACUUACCUAGGAGAGCCAGGAGACCAAACAGCAGGGUGACUUAGGCGCCCGAUGCAAGGACCAGCAUGGGCAAGCCAUGGAAGCAGAAUGUCUUCUCAAAUGCAUUACCAUUUGAAGAACCUGCCGGGGGUCCUCCUUCCUCAGUCACCUGCUGAUCCAGUGAGCACCAGUCACCUGCAGGUGGCCCAGCCCCCUUCUCACCCCAUUCAUGUGUCUGCACCUCUAUUGGCUCAGCAGAUAGUGGCAGGUCGCAACUGUGUGCAAGGGGAAGACAGUGCCUCCUAAAAGGAGCUGAAUUAGCUUAGCACACAAGGAAAUUGAGGAAGCUAGACAGGAAAUGCUGAAUCUGGAGAGGGUGCAGGUCAGAACCCCAGCUGCAAGAGACAUUGUCCUGGAAAGAGUAGUCUGGUAGGACCCGCAAAUCUCUUACCCACACCCAGGCUGCCUCUACAGAGCAGUGAGCCAGGAGCCUUAGCUGUGGCACUCACUGGCCCUGAAUGCUAAGAAACCUUAUGUAAGUCUCUCCCUCCCCUCCAUCUAAGAUGCCUCCUGUUUAAAUGGAAGCACCUAGAGCAGAUAAGAGCUUUCCAGCCUAUCUUGACUGGAGAACCCCUUUCACCAUGCAACUCCUACCAGCACCUCGAAAUUAGCUUAAUCAUUUAACAGAUGGUGUAACACAUAUACCAAAAAGUGAUAUUUAAAUAAAACUUAUUUUAGAUCAAUGUAUAAUAUUAAAAUGGCAAUGCCUGUAGUAUAAAAAGACUAAUCUCAACAUUUUCCCAUUUACCAAGUAAUUCAAAAUGUUUAACUUAAUUAUCUAAGGGGAGACCAUGCUUUGUUCAUAACUUUUAAAAUAACAUGUCCUUUGGUAUUGGGACAAAUGUACUGUAUAUUAAAAUGUAUGAAAUUUAAUGACUCAUUAUGGCAUCAGAAAUAGACAAAAACUGCUUUCCUAAAUGUUUGGAAUGUAUGCCUGUUGCACUUUAAAAAGCUGGUUUAUUUUUAUUACUUCCAUGUUUUUGUAUCUAAAUGAUGAGCUAAAACAGAAGAGUUCAGAUUGUUGUGUGUAAGAGCCAUUCCACAAAUAACACAAAGUUGGUAUGGAGGAUCUUUAUUCCUAAUAAUCGAGAAGCCACACUGAUUAUAAUGGUCCCUAUAUUUUGUCUUUAUGAUUUUGGUUCCUGAUACACUAGAGACACCAUGAUGUGCCAUACAAACAUUUUGAUUAACUAAAUGCAAUUUAUGGGUCUAAUGAAUGAAGAUCAUCUUGACUCAAAUUUAUGGAAUCAUAUAUGUUUAUAUUAGCCAGUAUUUCAUUGUGGUUGUAUAUGAUGCAGUAUUUUUUUUUUUUCUUUUGGGAACCGGGAUUGAACU